UACGGAGGGUGCAAGCGUUAUCCGGAUUCACUGGGUUUAAAGGGUGCGUAGGAGGGCAGGUAAGUCAGUGGUGAAAUCUCCGAGCUUAACUCGGAACUGCCGUUGAUACUAUCUGUCUUGAAUACCGUGGAGGUGAGCGGAAUAUGUCAUGUAGCGGUGAAAAUGCUUAGAUAUGACAUAGAACACCAAUUGCGAAGGCAGCUCACUACACAAUCAUUGACGCUGAGGCACGAAAGCGUGGGGAUCAAACAGGA
rnacentral:rRNA from 1 species